UGAAAUAAACCUUUACUACACCAAGUUUAAGCCGAGUGUAUCCUGUCUCUGAGAGUAAUUUUUUUUAAUUGAAAAAGCCGCUCCAGUAGUGUCAAGACAGCUAAAUGCUAUCGUUAGCUUAGUGUUUCACAUCGUUCGUAACAGCAUGUGCUUGUGUUAACAUAGUACACGUUUUUUUCUAUACGGUUUCGUAUGUACUGAAAUGUAAUGGUCGGACACAAAGGUUGAAAUCUUGUAUGACUAAAGAGCUGAGGCUAAGGUUAUCGCCAGUUGUUCUUCUUCACCUCUGCAGACUCUUAAAAUACAGAACUGACAACAAGUUAGAAACGUUAUUAAACCUGUCAGUUGUCUGCAGACAGAAGGGUAAGCCUAACUCAUUCGGCAAUAUUUUAACUCUAAUGUGAAACGGGAAAACAAAAUUUUCAGGCUGAGAACAGAAAUUUCAAAGGGAGACAGUAUUUAAAAGUACCAUAUUUCCUUGAUCGCUGAUGACAUGGUUGUGGACAAGUGUGCUAAAAUCUUUAUUAUUUUUUGUUCUUACAGGUCCGUGUGAAGAUGCAGUGGAAGUGCAAAUACUGAUUCUUUGAGAGCUUUGGAGUGGACAAGUUCUGCAGGUUCUGCAUGGCAAUGAUGAGUGAGAUCCAAGACAAGGAGAUGGCAGCACACCAGAAGAUGACCUUGAGAGUAAUUUUCACAGAGACGGAUAUAAGAAAGGUUGUUCUGAAUACGAGACCCACUACAGUGGAGGAUUUGAUAGGCAAGCUUAAAGAUCACUGGGACUUAAUUUUAACUUCAGUCUCCAGUACCAAGAUCCUGAAUUCAAUUAUGAAGUGUGCAAUCUGACAGAUAUCGAAGAUCUUCCUGAAAAACCAACAGUCAAGGUCAUCCCUCUACUUGAGUUGGUAUCUGUCUCAACAUCUGAAGAAAUCUUGAGUGGCACACCCAGUGUAGCAGAUACAGAGAUCCUCUCUACAUCCUCGCAGGAGCGACAGAAACAGUGGCCAGAUUGUUUUGAUAUCC